AUUGAACGCUGGCGGCAUGCCUUACACAUGCAAGUCGAACGGUAACGGGCCUUCGGGUGCCGACGAGUGGCGAACGGGUGCGUAAUACAUCGGAACGUGCCCGAUCGUGGGGGAUAACGAGGCGAAAGCUUUGCUAAUACCGCAUACGAUCUACGGAUGAAAGCAGGGGACCGCAAGGCCUUGCGCGGACGGAGCGGCCGAUGGCAGAUUAGGUAGUUGGUGGGAUAAAAGCUUACCAAGCCGACGAUCUGUAGCUGGUCUGAGAGGAUGAUCAGCCACACUGGGACUGAGACACGGCCCAGACUCCUACGGGAGGCAGCAGUGGGGAAUUUUGGACAAUGGGCGCAAGCCUGAUCCAGCCAUGCCGCGUGCGGGAUGAAGGCCUUCGGGUUGUAAACUGCUUUUGUACGGAACGAAAAGCCUUCUUUUAAUACAGGAGGGUCAUGACGGUACCGUAAGAAUAAGCACCGGCUAACUACGUG
rnacentral:rRNA from 1 species